rnacentral:rRNA from 1 species
AGAAUCAACGCUGGCGGCGUGCCUAACACAUGCAAGUCGAACGAGAAAGUGGAGCAAUCCAUGAGUAAAGUGGCGACCGGGUGAGUAACACGUGACUACCUACCCUUGAGUGGGGGAUAACCUCGGGAAACCGAGGCUAAUACCGCAUAAUAUCGAAAGAUCAAAGGAGUAAUCCGCUUUUGGAGGGGUCGCGGCUGAUUAGCUAGUUGGUAGGGUAAUGGCCUACCAAGGCGAAGAUCGGUAUCCGGCCUGAGAGGGCGCACGGACACACUGGAACUGAAACACGGUCCAGACUCCUACGGGAGGCAGCAGUGGGGAAUUUGCGCAAUGGGGGAAACCCUGACGCAGCAACGCCGCGUGGAGGAUGAAGCCCCUUGGGGUGUAAACUCCUUUCGACCGGGAAAAUAAUGAUGGUACCGGUGGAAGAAGCACCGGCUAACUCUGUGCCAGCAGCCGC